GAUGAACGCUGGCGGCGUGCCUAAUACAUGCAAGUCGAGCGAACAGACGAGGAGCUUGCUCCUCUGAUGUUAGCGGCGGACGGGUGAGUAACACGUGGAUAACCUACCUAUAAGACUGGGAUAACUUCGGGAAACCGGAGCUAAUACCGGAUAACAUGUUGAACCGCAUGGUUCAACAGUGAAAGACGGUCUUGCUGUCACUUAUAGAUGGAUCCGCGCCGCAUUAGCUAGUUGGUAAGGUAACGGCUUACCAAGGCAACGAUGCGUAGCCGACCUGAGAGGGUGAUCGGCCACACUGGAACUGAGACACGGUCCAGACUCCUACGGGAGGCAGCAGUAGGGAAUCUUCCGCAAUGGGCGAAAGCCUGACGGAGCAACGCCGCGUGAGUGAAGAAGGUCUUCGGAUCAUAAAACUCUGUUAUUAGGGAAGAACAAAUGUGUAAGUAACUAUGCACGUCUUGACGGUACCUAAUCAGAAAGCCACGGCUAACUACGUG
rnacentral:rRNA from 1 species